UACAGAGGGUGCUAGCGUUGUUCGGAAUUAUUGGGCGUAAAGGGCGCGUAGGCGCCUCGCAUGUCCGAUGUGAAAGCCCACCUCUUAAAGGUGGAAUUGCAUCGGAAACUGCGAGGCUAGAGUGCCGGAGAGGGUGGUGGAAUUCCUGGUGUAGAGGUGAAAUUCGUAGAUAUCAGGAGGAACACCGGUGGCGAAGGCGGCCACCUGGACGGUAACUGACGCUGAGGCGCGAAAGCGUGGGGAGCAAACAGG
rnacentral:rRNA from 1 species